ACGCGAUAAGUAAUGUGAAUUGCAGAAUUUAGUGAAUCAUCGAAUCUUUGAACGCACAUUGCGCCCGUUAGUAUUCUGACGGGCAUGCCUGUUCGAGCGUCAUUUACACCCCUCGGGCCCUUUCGCGGCCCGGCGUUGGGGCGCUGCGCGGACCUCCGCGCACGCCCUGAAAUCCAGUGGCGGGCCGUCCCGCGUCGCCUUUGCGUAGUCACCAUACCUCGCUCUGGGACGCAGGCGGUUUUCCAGCCGUUAAAAACCCCCCUUUUACAAGGUUGACCUCGGAUCAGGUAGGGAUACCCGCUGAACUUAA
rnacentral:misc_RNA from 1 species